rnacentral:rRNA from 1 species
AACGAACGCUGGCGGCAUGCCUAACACAUGCAAGUCGAACGAGACCUUCGGGUCUAGUGGCGCACGGGUGCGUAACGCGUGGGAACCUGCCCGUAGGUUCGGAAUAACUCAGAGAAAUUUGACCUAAUACCGGAUGAUGUCUUCGGACCAAAGAUUUAUCGCUGUUUGAUGGGCCCGGGUUGGAUUAGGCAGUUGGUGGGGUAAAGGCCUACCAAGGCGACGAUCCAUAGCUGGUCUGAGAGGAUGAUCCGCCACACUGGGACUGAGACACGGCCCAGACUCCUACGCGAGGCAGCAGUGGGUUAUAUUAUACGCUGGGCGCAGACCUAAUCCAGCCGUGCCGCGUGAGUGAUGAAGGCGUUAGGGUUGUAAAGCUCUUUUACCCGAGAUGAUAAUGACAGUAUCGGGAAAAUAAGCUCCGGCUAACUCCGUG